AGGUGGAAGUGAAUGCGUGUGGGAGGGAGUCAUUCUCCUCGGUGGAAUCCGUCUCUCAUGGAAUGUCAGCCAUCACUUCCUGUCUGCGUUCACUCGGGGUCACGUGUGAGGCGAGUGGGUGAAGAAGGGGGCCUUCGCAGACCACGGCGACUAAAAACGGGAAGUCCACUCCCCUCUCUCUCUCUCUCUCUCUCAUCAUAACACCAGUGCGAGGGCUCUGCACGCCUUCCUUGUUGCUUGGACGCGGCACGGAAUAGAAAAAAAAAAAACACCAGCUGAGCCAGAAAGUGGAGCAAAGUGGAGACGGAAAGGCCAGAGACACAGUUUGGGAGGACUUUCAAUCAUAGGGGAUGCAAAGGAAACAUUGAACAGAGAAUGCACUGCGGCAGCAGAGCAGGGGAGCUGUCAGCAAGCCCGUCGGCUAUUUCAGUGCACGGCCGUGAGGCUUUCCAGUCCGCACCGAAGGGAAACAUUUGUACAGGCUCAGCGGGUGGAGACAAAAGGGAAGUGCCAAGGAACAGGAACAAGUCGGGAGCUUUGCCAAACCUGUUGGCAGGGUCAAAGGUCCAAACCCUGAAGGUCGCGGGUGCUCUCCCAUGAGGAGUCUAACCUUCAGCCACAGAGACGAGGGAGCAGAGCAGACGUGAAAGACGUUAAGCUCCUAAAUACCAACCAGCGUUCGACUUUGUGGUCUGCAGGUCAUGUGAUAGGGCUGCUAAUGUGACGCGAGAAACUACGUCUAACAUGAACCUGUCCAAAACCGGGGCAAACACAUCGGGGCCACACAGCGGUUUAGUUCAUUUCAGCUUUCAACUGUUAUUGAUUAUCUUAACUGGGUUUUCCUGCUUUUAUUUUGCUCCCCUGAAAUGCAUAAAUUAACAGCCAGCCACAGGAUGCUGCUGAGGUGCUGGGAAGGAAAUUACAUAGUGGUUUUAAAUCGCUUUAGAAAAUAAUUAAAAAGUACAAAAGAU